rnacentral:rRNA from 1 species
UACGUAGGGGGCGAGCGUUGUCCGGAUUUAUUGGGCGUAAAGAGCGUGUAGGCGGCCAGGUAGGUCUGCUGUGAAAACUCGAGGCUCAACCUCGAGACGUCGGCGGAAACCAUCUGGCUAGAGUCCGGAAGAGGAGAGUGGAAUUCCUGGUGUAGCGGUGAAAUGCGCAGAUAUCAGGAGGAACACCAAUGGCGAAGGCAGAUCUCUGGGCCGUAACUGACGCUGAGGAGCGAAAGCAUGGGGAGCGAACAGG